AAUAACGUGAUUAAGGCAAUACCGCCCCAGUCUGAUCUCCGUGACUGAUUGGUCUAUUUGAAUGAU